AUGACUUUUAGUUGCCCACAAACUCUAAAUAAACAUUUCUGUUCUAAUCAGCUUAAUAUUUGAUUCGCUUCUACCAGAAGCUUCGAUAUUAAAUUGAUUUUUGGAAACUGGCGAAAGUUUGGAGCUUGCUCCUCCUUUGUCGCGGGUUGGCUCGGAUUUGCACUGUUUCCGAGAAUAGCCCACACACA